rnacentral:lncRNA from 1 species
AUUUUUACCAAACAGUGGGCGGAGCCCAGCGAGCUGUAAUUAAAAUAACUUCCUCCGCUUAAGAGUUUAUUUUCUACAAUUUUCUGUGAAAGCUUUUAAUUUUUAAUCAUCUCGACUGGUUGAAGGACCAUGAGCUCCAAUGAAAGCAGCCUUAUAUUGUAUAACAUAUUGAUUAAGCCUUUCCACAGCAUCAUAAAGGUGUGCACUGAAGGCUUUCGUCUCCACGGCUGAACAUGCGAUUAAUGAUUCAUGUUUGAUAAAGAGGAGACGUCAGCUAUAAGAACCGGCGGAGAUGCUAUCACUGCAGAAGGAGGAUGAGAGGAUGCACUGGAGGGACUCAACUUACAGUUUAGAGGAGAAGGUCUGGAAAAUUUCUGGAAGGUUCUGGUCAAUGGGAGAAACUGUUCUGUUCCAAUUCCCAAAGAGCGCUUUGACAGCGAGAGCUGGUACGACCCUGAUGACACCAAAGCGGGGAAAUCGCGAACAGCAAAGGCGGCACUUAUGGACGGGUUUAAUGACUUUGACCACAAGUUUUUUGGCAUCAGUGACCGUGAGGUGGAGCAGAUGGACCCUCAGCAGAAGCAGCUCCUUCAGUGUGUUUACAGAGCUUUGGAGAACGCCGGCAUUCCCAUGGAAAAAGCCAGCGGGACACGAACCGG